GACGAACGCUGGCGGCGUGCUUAACACAUGCAAGUCGAACGGAAAGGCCCUGCUUUUGUGGGGUGCUCGAGUGGCGAACGGGUGAGUAACACGUGAGUAACCUGCCCUUGACUGUGGGAUAACUUCAGGAGACUGGGGCUAAUACCGGAUAGGAGCUCCUGCUGCAUGGUGGGGGUUGGAAAGUUUCGGCGGUUGGGGAUGGACUCGCGGCUUAUCAGCUUGUUGGUUGGGUAGUGGCUUACCAAGGCUUUGACGGGUAGCCGGCCUGGGAGGGUGACCGGCCACAUUGGGCCUGAGAUACGGCCCAGACUCCUACGUGAGGCAGCAGUGGGGAAUAUUGCACAAUGGGCGGAAGCCUGAUGCAGAGACGCCGCGUGCGGGAUGACGGCCUUCGGGUUGUAAACCGCUUUAGCCUGUGACGAAGCGUGAGUGACGGUACUGGGUAAAGAAGCACCGGCUAACUACGUG
rnacentral:rRNA from 1 species